UGAGGUCAGAGUCCUGAGGAGCCCUUUCUCAGUGCGGGUCAUUUUCUGUUUGAUUUUGAAUUUGUCCACGCUGUGAUGCAAAAACCUGUGGUUGGCCUGGGCAUCGUCAUGGUUCCUGGCCUCUCCUGUGAGCACACAGUGACCGCUAUUUUUUGAACACUGCUGUGUUCCAGCUACUGUCCUGGGUGCUAGAGAUACCUCAGUGAACAACACAGACACAUGCGGUGCCCUAGCACGCUUCGGGGGCAGAUGCUGCUUCAUUAAGGGUCGGAUGAUAGCUGGAGCUCUUCCACUCACUCCCAUCUUUCUGUACCUUAUCCUCUUCUACAACUAAUAGAAGAAAAAGUAGCUCAAGCCUCUUUCUCUGACACCGUGAGCCUCGGUCCUCAGUGCUCCCCUUGACACCCCCCGCCCUUCAUCACAGAAGAAUUACCUUUGCCCUCUUGGAUCCCACCUUUGUCCUUGCACGUAGUCCUGUUGUAGGGCUGAUCACGAUGAACUUACAUUGUAUUCUUACCUGUCUGUGUCCCCUACAAGGAGGUGAGCUGCAUCACACCUAACCACACAUGUGGAACAAGUCCAUGAGGAACUUCCCCUAAGGAACUAUGCAGUUAACUGAAGUUCAAUCAUUAGGUUGACCAGUUCAGUCAUAACGGAAAGCAUUAGUCACACCCCUUAGGUCACUAAGAGCCCCAGAAAACAGGUGAUGUACCAGACUCAAGGUACAGCUGUGAACAAGUAGAAAACGGCCGCUGCAAGGAAACCAGCUUGAUAACCUGACAAUCCGAAUGGCUGAAGUAUAAUCAGUCUUAAGAGGUAGCCCUCCUGCCUCUGCAAAAAGAGGCUUAACAUCCAAAUCAUCUUGAGCUGCUCACCACCAAGUGAUGAGCAUUUUUGGUCACAUAGGUCUAUGAUGCUUACCUUACCUUAGGUGGGGACACCUUCAAAUUGUUAAAGACGGUAGCAGGAUCCCGGCACCAGAUACCUUACGCUUUUUCUUCUACAGGGUUUUAAAACAGUGGAAAUUAUUUUAAUAUUACAAUAUGAAAUUACCAAACUCUAAUAAGACAGCUUUUUCAGAUUAUUCCAUUGUUAACGGGUCCACUUAAAUAUCUUAGUUUAUAAUCUGAUUGCAAAUGAAAUGGGGUUUUUCUAAAAAGGAGUUUGGGGGUAGCUGUGAUAACAGGCACAGAUCACUUUAACAAGCUAGAACUAUCAGACUCUUCUAUUAUUUGACCAAUCUCUACGUGGAACUAGUCUCAUAUAAGCCAGAUAAUUACAAGUAUCAUAAAAGAAAUGAGUUGCUGCAUUGUCCUUCAGUUAAAAGAAAUAUUUUAUUUGUAAAUAAUUAGAGAUUCACAGGAAAGUGCAAAGAUAGUACAGAGAGGUCCCAGGUACCCUUCACCAAGUUUCUUCCAUGGUUACAGUUUACAUAAUUAUGGUACAAUAUCGAAACCAAGAAACUGACACUGAUACAAUAUGUGCCUAUAGUUCUACGCAAUUUUUUUUAGUCCCCUAAUAUAUAUAUAGAUAUACUUUUAAAUUUUAUUUUAUCUAUUUACUUUUUAUACAGCAGGUUCUUACUAGUUACCUAUUUUAUACAUAUUAGUGUAUAUAUGUCAAUCCCCAUCUCCCAAUUCAUCCCACCCCCACCCCGCCGCUGCUUCCCCCCUUGGUGUCCGUACGUUAGUUCUCUACAUCUGUGUCUCUAUUUCUGCCCUGCAAACCGGUCCAUCUGUACCAUUUUUCUAAAUUCCACAUAUACGCGUUAAUAUACGAUAUUUGUUUUUCUCUUUCUGACUUCACUCUGUAUGGCAGUCUCUAGGUCCAUCCACGUCUCUACAAAUGACCCAAUUUUGUUCCUUUUUAUGGCUGAGUAAUAUUCCAUUGUAUAUAUGUACCACAUCUUCUUUAACCAUUCGGCUGUCAGUGGGCAUUUAGCUUGCUUCCAUGACCCGGCUAUUGUAAAUAGUGCUGCAAUGAACAUUAGGGUGCAUGUGUCUUUUUGAAUUAUG